GCGUUGAUUUCGGUCUGGGACUCCUUCAGCUGCUGCUUCAGGAGAGAGAUCUCCCCGGACUUCUGGCACACCUGCCGCAGGGCGGGGCGGGGACAAGAGAGAGUGCCAAGCAAGCCUGACAGGACAAUCUGGGAACAAGGUCAGAGCAAUUGACCUUGCUGUGAAGGUCUGGAUUAGACAAAUGAGGACGGAUGUACAAUGCCAGCACUGGCCUAUGUCUCUGAGACGGCCUGAAGUGUCCCCGACGCCUGGCUGAGAAACGAUGGCUGGGGUAGGGUCUGCGGUGCCAACACUGAUGGGAAAGAGGAAAGGCACUGGUCCCACAGCUAAGGCCCUUUUCUCGCUGGGAAACCCGGCAAACAGAAAGUGACUCUCCCUUGCCACCUGUCUGGUGCCUCCAUCCAUCACUUCCACAGAAAGACUCCUUUUCUUCCAUGCCCGGUAACACCUGUCACUCCAGGAUAAGUACAGGCAGCUCAGUGCAAAGAGAUGGCAGGGAGGCUGAGGGUUUGUCAUCCCCAUCUGGGUGGCAUUGGUCUCCCCAGAUACGAUGGCUCCUCAGCCCUUCCCAGGUAGGAGACUCUGGGGUGAAAGCCAUGAGCCUUCCAGUUCCCUGCACCACCUCCCAAGGCAUCUCAGGAAAUGGGCCUCUUUCUGCCUCCAUGGUCUUCCCUGAGUUUGAGGGCCCUGUGGUUACAAAGCCGGCAGGUUAGCUCAGUUUCCCUGUGCAAUUUGUGUUCCCACCAUUGCCUCGAGCCCCAGGAGACCUGCAGAAGGGAGGCGCUGGCACUGAACCCCUGACCACCGCCCUGGGCCCAUGCCCGCUGCCUCACCUCCCACUGCGUCUCCUCCAGCGCUGGAGCGAAGCUGGUCUUCUCCUUCUCGUAAGACCUGAGCUUGGUCUCCAGCAGGUC